ensembl:misc_RNA Metazoa_SRP Metazoan signal recognition particle RNA
GCCAGGCGUGGUAGCGCAUGCCUGUAAUCCCAGCUACUCAGGAGGCUGACACAGAAGAAUUGCUUGAACCCGGGAGGCAGAGGUUGCAGUGAGCUGAGAUCGUGCCACUGCACUCUAGCCUGGGUGACAGAGCAAGACUCCGUCUCAA